rnacentral:lncRNA from 10 species
CAUGCGCACAGAAAGGGCCUGGCCUAUGCUUGGUGUAGGAUGGAGCUGGAGGCCAUUAUCCUUAGCAAACUAACACAGGAACAGAAAACCGAAUGCCACAUGUUCUCACUUAUAACUGGGAGCUAGAUGAUGAGAACACAUGGACACAGAAAGAGGAACAACAGACACCAUUGCCUACUUGAAGGUGGACAGUGGGAGGAGGGAGAGGAUCAGAAAAAAAUAACUAUUGAUUACUAAGCUUAGUACCUGGGUGACAACAUCAUAAUCUGUACAUCAAACC